AUACGGAAGGUCCGGGCGUUAUCCGGAUUUAUUGGGUUUAAAGGGAGCGCAGGCGGAGAUGCAAGCGUGACGUCAAAUUUCGGGGCUCAACCCCGUCUCGCGUCGCGCACUGCGUCCCUUGGUUGCGGGAAGGGGAGGCGGAACUCGGGGUGUAGCGGGGAAAUGCAUAGAUAUCACGAAGAACUCCGAUCGCGAAGGCAGCCUUCCGGCCCGUCAACGACGCUCAUGCUCGAAGGUGCGGGUAUCAAACAGGAUUAGAUACCCUGGUAGUCCGCACAGUAAACGAUGGACACCCGCGGUUUGGCCUAUAUGGCUGAGCCGCCAAGCGAAAGCGUUAAGUGUCCCACCUGGGGAGUACGCCGGCAACGGUGAAACUCAAAGGAAUUGACGGGG
rnacentral:rRNA from 1 species